GCUGGGUGUGGUGGUGCAUGCCUGUAACCCCAGCAACUCAGGAGCUGAGGUAGGAGAAUCACAAGUUUAAGAUCAGCCUCAGCAACUUAGCAAGACCCUGUCUCAA
rnacentral:sRNA from 1 species